CACUGAAAUGUUUUAAGUCAGUCAACCAACUCUGGUCUUCCACUGAAGAGGAGCAGUGCCAGAUUGGCUAAUUAACAAUAGGCCACAGUUUCAAAAGGACUUAAAAAACAUAGCAACAACACAUUCCAACACUUCCCCCUGAUUAUGGGAAAGCACCCUGCCCUCCAAACCUAGAUGACACAAAGUUCUCCAUUACAUUGUGCUUCAAAUCUGCAUUUUCCAGUGCCUGGAAAAGACUUCUUCUCAGCCCACGCUGUAGCCUUCUGGAGUAAAGCUUUUUGUAUGCAGUGAGGCGUGCAUCAUGCUUUGGCCAUAACUGGAAUGUGCACAGCUUUGUGAAGUUUCUCAG